UCUCCUGUAGCUCAGUGGUAGAGCGCAGUGGUAGAGCGUUCGACCGGUGUGCGGAAAGUCAUAGGUUCGGCUCCUGUUGGGAGAA